rnacentral:rRNA from 1 species
AGGGCACCACCAGGAGUGGAGCCUGCGGCUUAAUUUGACUCAACACGGGAAAACUCAUCCGGCCCGGACACCGUAAGGAUUGACAGAUUGAGAGCUCUUUCUUGAUUCGGUGGGUGGUGGUGCAUGGCCGUUCUUAGUUGGUGGAGCGAUUUGUCUGGUUUAUUCCGAUAACGAGCGAGACUCUAGCCUACUAAAUAGUGACCUGAUACCUAGCUCCGGGUGACUUCUUACAGGGACAAGCGGUGUUCAGCCUCAAUAAGUUGAACAAUAACAGGUCUGUGAUGCCCUUAGAUGUCCGGGGCUGCGCGCGCGCUACACUCGAGGAAUCAGGGUGCUUGACCCUUUGCCGAAAGGCAUUGGUAAACCCUUGAAUAUCCUCAAUGAUCUUGAUGGGGAAUUGCAAUUAUUUCCCUUGAACCAGGAAUUCCCAGAAAGUGUGAGUCAUCAGCUCAAGUUGCUUACGUCGCUGCCCUUUGUACCCACCGCCCGUCGCUGCCGGGGACUGAGCUGUUUCGAGAA